rnacentral:rRNA from 1 species
GGUUAAGCCCUAGUGCUGAGAAAAGCCUCUAGCGUGACCCACGCGCCCGUACCGCAAACCGACACUGGUAGGCGGGUAGAGUAUACCAAGGCGAUCGGGAGAACCCUCGUUAAGGAACUAGGCAACAUGACUCCGUAACUUCGGGAGAAGGAGUGCCCUGUGGGGUGAUACACCUAGCGUGUUUGAGCUCUGCGGGGCCGCAGUGAAACGGCCCUAGCGACUGUUUACCAUAAUCACAGGUCUCUGCUAAAGCGAAAGCUGAUGUAUAGGGGCUGACGCCUGCCCAGUGCCGGAAGGUUAAGGGGAGAGGUUAGCGGUAACGCGAAGCUUUGAACCGAAGCCCCGGUGAACGGCGGCCGUAACUAUGACGGUCCUAAGGUAGCGAAAUUCCUUGUCGGGUAAGUUCCGACCCGCACGAAUGGCGUAACGACUGGGGCGGUGUCUCAACGAGGGACCCGGUGAAAUUGAAGUAGGCGUGAAGAUGCGCCAAACCCGCAGCGGGACAAAAAGACCCCGUGGAGCUUUACUGCAGCUUGAUAUUGAGCUAGGGCUUGGUCUGUAGAGGAUAGGUGGGAGGCUAUGAAGCCGGGGCGUCAGCCUCGGUGGAGCCGCCAGUGGAAUACCACCCUGAUUAAGUCUUGGCCCUAACCUGCACCGUUAUCCGGUGUGGGGACAGAGUCAGGUGGGCAGUUUGACUGGGGCGGUCGCCUCCUAAAAGGUAACGGAGGCGCCCAAAGGUUCCCUCAGGCUGAAUGGAAACCAGCCGUUGAGUGUAAAGGCACAAGGGAGCUUGACUGCGAGGCCAACAAGCCGAGCAGAGACGAAAGUCGGGCUUAGUGAUCCUACGGCUCUGUGUGGAAAGGCCGUGGCUUACCGGAUAAAAGUUACCCCGGGGAUAACAGGCUAGUGUGGCCCAAGAGUUCACAUCGACGGCCACGCUCGGCACCUCGAUGUCGGCUCGUCACAUCCUGGGGCGGGAGUACGUCCCAAGGGUUGGGCUGUUCGCCCAUUAAAGUGGUACGCGAGCUGGGUUCAGACCGUCGUGAGACAGGUCGGUCUCUAUCCGCUGUGGGCGUAGGGGAUUUGAGGAGAGCUGCUCCUAGUACGAGAGGACCGGAGCGGACUGACCUCUAGUGUGCCAGUUGUUCCGCCAGGAGCAUCGCUGGGUAGCUAUGUCGGGCAGAGAUAACCGCUGAAAGCAUCUAAGUGGGAAACUCGCUUCAAGAUUUGAUCCCCCACCAGGUUACUGGGUAAGGCCGCUGGUAGACUACCAGUUUGAUAGGCGGCGUGUGUAAGCGCAGUAAUGCGUUCAGCUAAGCCGUACUAAUGGCCGAGGGCUUGAACAU